AUUGAACGCUGGCGGCAGGCCUAACACAUGCAAGUCGAACGAGUGGCGGACGGGUGAGUAAUGUCUGGGAAACUGCCUGAUGGAGGGGGAUAACUACUGGAAACGGUAGCUAAUACCGCAUACCAUCAGAUGUGCCCAGAUGGGAUUAGCUUGUUGGUGGGGUAACGGCUCACCAAGGCGACGAUCCCUAGCUGGUCUGAGAGGAUGACCGGCCCCCCGGGAACGGAGCCACGGCCCGGACUCCUACGGGAGGCGGCAGUGGGGAUUAUUGCACAAUGGGCGCAAGCCUAAUGCGGCAAGGCCGCGGAUAUGAAGAAGGCCUUCGGGUUGUAAAGUACUUUCAGCGGGGAGGCGUUACCCGCAGAAGAAGCACCGGCUAACUCCGUGCCAGCAGCCGCGGUAAUUC
rnacentral:rRNA from 1 species